rnacentral:rRNA from 1 species
AUUGAACGCUGGCGGCAGGCCUAACACAUGCAAGUCGAGCGAGCGGCGGGCGGGUGAGUAAUAUAUGGGGGCUGCCCGAUAGAGGGGGAUACCUACUGGAAACGGUAGCUACUCCCGCAUACUAUCGGAUAACCCAUAUGGGAUUAGCUAGUGGGUGGGGUAAUGGCUCACCUAGGCGACGAUCCCUAGCUGGUCUGAGAGGAUGAUCAGCCACACUGGGACUGAGACACGGCCCAGACUCCUACGGAGGCAGCAGUGGGGAAUAUUGCACAAUGGGCGGAAGCCUGAUGCAGCCAUGCCGCGUGUAUGAAGAAGGCCUUAGGGUUGUAAAGUACUUUAAGUUGGGAGGCGUUACCGACAGAAGAAGCACCGGCUAACUCCGUGCCAGCAGCCGCGGUAAUUC